rnacentral:rRNA from 1 species
AUACGGAGGGGGCAAGCGUUACUCGGAUUUACUGGGCGUAAAGGGCGCGUAGGCGGGACCGUAAGUCGGUCGUUAAAGACCCCGGCUCACCCGGGGAAAGGCGAUCGAAGCUGCGGUCCUUGGGGCCGGGAGAGGCCGGCGGAAUUCCCGGUGGAGCGGUGAAAUGCGCCGAUAUCGGGAGGAACACCAGGGGCGAAGGCGGCCGGCUAGACCGAGCCCGACGCUGAGGCGCGAAAGCCAGGGGAGCAAACCGGAUUAGAAACCCCAGUAGUCC